AAAGUGCGACAAGUGUCACGACUUGCAGAUUCCCGGGAGCUGACAACUUUCUGAAUGCAAAUUGCGGACCGACUCUCUGCCCUGUCGGCCAUGUGCUGCAGAGUGUUGUUGCCUUGUGCAUUACAUCUCUCUGGUGUCUUCGAAAGAAGUGCCAGGAGGAUUCGGGGUUGAGCAGAAAGAAGGACCUUUCCGGCCCAUCUGGACUGCUCAGCUCUGAGAUUUGCGCAAGCUCGACGUCAAAGACGAGCCUGCCUUGAUUGUCUUCUGGUCCUCCAGACACACAACAGGCAGAGCACAACCAAGUCUUUCGUACGAAGCUCGCUGCCUCACCCAUCUCUUGCUGACCUCUGCAACAUAAGAAAACCCGCUGAACUUAA
rnacentral:misc_RNA from 1 species